UGCGCCUGCGCCGAACUCCCCGAGCGGCGCUUUGGGGCGGAGGCUGUUUUUUACUUGGGAAAUCCGCACUGUUUACUGCGCCUGCGCCGUGGCCGGAGCCUCCGGCGACCUCCUAGGUAUAGGGAGUUCGCUUGGUAAAUGUAGUCGGCCGGUCGUAUCCUCGCCGGGAAUAUUGGGGACUAGUGCUAGACGCGGGAGCAAGCCUACUGCUUUGCGGUGAAGAUCUAAAUAAGCUGCCAAUUGUUGCAGAUUGCUAUGGCCAGUAUGAGAGGCUUCCUGUGCAGAAGUCGUCUAGAAGAAAACCCUGAAAGAAAAACUGGACCAGUUCACUUUAUAAAACAAACAUUUGUUACAUCCUGAGUGCUGAACAAAAGUUCCCCCAAGGAAUUUAUAUUUUAUUAGAGGAACAGAUGUGAAUACAGUUAAAGUACAUAGGUUUUUGUUUUUGUUUUUGUUUUUUUGUUUUGCUUUUUUUGCUGAAGCAGUUAGGGUUAAGACUUGCCCAGAGUUACACAGCAAGGAAGUGUUAAGUGUCUCAGACCAGAUUUGAACGCAGGUCUUUUUGACUUAAGGGCUGGUGCUCUCUAUCCACUGCACCACCUAUCUGCCCUAAACAUAGUGUUUUCUUGGAAGAACAUACUAGCAAAUAAGAUGAUCAUCAUAAUAUAAUAAUAAUAUUUAUAAUAAAUAAUAAAAAGAGAGGGGCUUCUUAAAUUUUUUCCACUCAAGAUUUUUUUUGCCUGAGGAAUUUUUAUGUGACCCCUGCUAUGUAGGCAUAUAAAGUAAGUAUACAGAUCAAACAUUUAAAUCAUAAUUUCACAACCCCGGCAUUAGUUAAGAGACUCCAUAUGGGAUCUGGAGCCACGGUUUAAGAAGCUGAGAUAUAGGGGGUAGUACUUGAGCUGAACUUUAUCAUUCCAUCAGCAAGCAUUUAAAGCCCGAUGUGUUUUAGGCACUAUGCCAAGUAAAUAAUAAGGAUACAAAAAGCUAGCAGCGGAAUGCUAGGGAUUCUAAAAGUAAAAUGUGGAAGGAGUGAACUUGGUGAUGGAUACCUUGUCCAAAAAUAUAUGUUGGGGAAAUGAGAUGUCAUAUAAAGGAAACUACCCAAGUCAAUUUGGCUAGAAUAUAGAAUUUGAGAGUAGGAAGGUUAAAUAGUUUGUAAGCCAAUUGUGAAGAGUUUUAAAAGCCAAGGAAGAAUUUUCUUUAAUCCAAGGGGCAGGAAGAUACUACUGGCACUUUUUCAGCAAGAAGAUGACAUAGUCAGACCUAUGUUUUAGUAAUAUCAAUUUGGCAACUGUAUAGUAGAUAAUUUAGAAAGAGAGGCUAGAGGCAGGCAUUUAGGAAGCAAUUGCAAUAGUCCAAAACAAAUAACUUGAAUUGGAAUGAUGUCUGUAUUAGUAGAGAGAAAAGGAAAGAUGUAAGAUGUAUUUUGAAGGUAGAAUUGACAAUAUGAGGGAAAAUAGAAAGUUGCAGAUAAUCUACUAGGUAUACUUGAGUAUACUUGAGUAACUAGAAGGAUGGUGCCUUCAACAAAAACAGGAUGGACAGUUAUGAUUAGAUAAAAUUUAAAGUUUUGCACUAACAAAAUUAAUGCAGCUGAAAUUGAAUGGGAAAUGAGGGAAAAAAUUAUUGCAGCAAGUUUUUCUGAUGCAGAUUUCAUUUCUAAGGUAUAUUGAGAAUCAAUUCAAAUUUGCAAAAAUAAAAGCCAUUUCCCAAUUGAUAAAUUGUCAAAGAUCAAAAUGGUCAAAAACUACCUAUAUGAAUAAGCAGAGAAAAACCCAAGCUAUCAAUAGCCAUAUGAAAAAAUGCUUGAAAUUACUAGUAAUUAGAAAAAUACAAAUUAAAAUAACAUUGACAUACUGUUUCAUACAUAUCAGAAUGGCAAAAUGGACAAAAAAAAGAAAAGUGAAAACUCUGAGAAAACAGGUAUAUUAAUGCACUGUUGAUGGCAUAGAACUGGUCUGACUAUUCUGGAAAACAAUUUAGAAACUAUGCUCAAAAAGUUAUUAAAGUAUAUAUACUCUAGGUGGAGCAGUAGAUAGAGACUCACCUUCAAAUUAGAUAUCAGACACUUACUAAAUAAUUCUGGACAAGUCACUCAACUCUAUUUGCCUUAGUUUCCUUAUCUGUAAAAUGAGCUGCAGAAGAAAACGGCAAACCCAUCUCUGCAGAGAAAA